GAUGAACGCUGGCGGCGUGCUUAACACAUGCAAGUCGAACGUGAGGGUGUAGCAAUAUGCCUGAAAGUGGCGAACGGGUGAGUAACACGUAGAUGACCUGCCCUGGAGUGGGGGAUAACCACUGGAAACGGUGGCUAAUACCGCAUACAUCUAUUGACUUGGGAAAGUGAAUAGGGAAAGCUCUGGUGCUCUGGGAGGGGUCUGCGUCCGAUUAGCUAGUUGGUGAGGUAAAGGCUCACCAAGGCGACGAUCGGUAGCUGGUCUGAGAGGACGAUCAGCCACACGGGAACUGAGACACGGUCCCGACUCCUACGGGGGGCAGCAGUGAGGAAUAUUGGGCAAUGGGCGAGAGCCUGACCCAGCAACGCCGCGUGGAGGAAGACGGCCUUCGGGUUGUAAACUCCUUUUGACAGGGAAGAGAGAGGACGGUACCUGUCGAAUAAGUCACGGCUAACUACGUG
rnacentral:rRNA from 1 species